ensembl:lncRNA
CUUUAUUCAGUAUAUGACUGUAAUGCACAGUAUAAAAGUUGGGCACAGCAGCUUUAAUACACAAAUUCAAAAUCACCACAUAAACAGGUGGACACGCUGCGGGUGCGUGUCAGUAAAUUCAUUUUUUCCACACACUCAAAACGUGGUUAGAUGGAUGCAGCAGGGAGACAGAGUUUGGUUCUGUUGAAGGAUCACCGCCUCCAUCUGCUCUCUCUGAUACCUGUUUAAAUAUUUUAUAAUACAGCCUAAUGAAAUAUGAAGAGCCCGGCUUUUCCAAACAAUUAAGCAUAAUGAGUGUGUCUCUCAGAGAUCGUGGCGCUAAAACUAAAAGGCAACAACUGGGAAAUCAAACAUGUCAAAGACAGAACUGAAACUCUACACUGAUGGAAGCACAGUCCGGAUCCAGCAUCCGGGCCCGCUCUUUACCGUCAGCCGACUGAGCCUAGUUUUGAAUUGACGGACGUUGGCGAUAACCAAUCAGCGCCUGCCGUGCGCCAAAGCUGUGUUUAUUCCACUUAACCGACCAAUCAGAGCCGUCCUCUGCGGGCAAGUGCGUCAUCAAAGUAGAAUGUGAAUGUGGGCUGCCUGUUAUCGGAGCACACUCUGCUCCCAUCCCCCAUCUCCACUGAGCAAUAGCGGCUGCCUUUUUGCGUGCCGCUUUGUCCUUCUCAGUUCAGCUUGUAAAAGCCAUGUGUACAAAAGUCGGUAAGGAAAAUACGUGUUUGCCCUUGUGUUUCAUAAGAAUGCGCGUCAGUUCAUGAGCACAUUAUAAUUAUUUUCCGCACUUGUCUCAUCGCAUGUCUUUUAUGUCGCACUGCUUUUUUCCCUCCUCCACGGCGGGGCAUUUCUCUGUGGGUUCUAACAAUGGAGGCGGAGGAAAUGAGGCCACCAGCACUGUUCACUGCACCCGCUCACUGAGCCCGAACAGCCCGACUCACGGCGUCAGAGCCGGCUGUGUGUGUGUUGUUCGACGGGUACAGUGUUUAUUUGUGUCUCGACCUUGGCGCACGAAUUUAUGGGCUGUUAUGUAAAAAAAAAAAAAAAGCCCUCAAGAGUGUCAAGUGCGCACAUACAGGGAUGAGUUUCAAACAUGGACGUCGGGAAGGGGCGGGGCGACGAAGAGCUGCGAUGUGACAUGGCGGCGCCGCUCCACAUUUACACUGUUAGCGCCUUUUAUCUGACUGAUGUUGUUCACAUGGAGCCUGAGAUGUGACACUAACGUUUGCGUAGAAAAGCCCGAUUUAAUCCGUGAUAACAUCCGUGUCGUCCACGUUUCCCUCCCAAACACUUCGCCUCUAUUCCCCCGUCGCGGCGGUGGGCGGGAGAAACCGUCUGAAGUCGCCGCUUGACUCGUCCAGACGCACAUCAAUCAAUCAAACUGACACUACGUCAACCGAAGCGCUCUCGAUUCGACAUAUUUACUGCGUAACUCGAUGGAAACUCGAUUUUCUCGCGCUCACGGUGCUGUGGAGCUGCCACGGUUCCGGCUCCGGUCCGUUUUGUGGGCUUUUAUCGACUCGGAUUAUUGUUUUAGGGGAGAAAGGGACGGUUGCAGCGGUAGAAUAGGAGGGGGCGUGGCCUUUAGGUUAAGAAAUUCUAUCCAUUGUUACUCGACGCGCUAGGAGAACGCCUCUGUCGAGCCCCUGGCCAAUCAGAGACCACCGACCUCAUGAAGACCCCGCCCACAAGCCUAUAUUAAAGGCUCGGCCGUCAGAAGCGUUGGCCACUGGCACAAUAUAAUACUGAUUGAUCCGCUAACUGAGACGAGGGGAUUUACUUUAUUCAACCUUUCAUUUCAGCCGUCCUUUAUUUUAUUCUACUAAACAAUGGCAGACACACAGGUCGACUCCGGCUCGGAUAUCUCUGCCAAGGACCUGAAAGAGAAGAAGCUGGUGGAGGAGAAGGAGAACGGCAAAGACGCCGCCACCAACGGAAAGGAGAAUGAGGAGAACGGUGAGCCCGAGGAGGUGGACGAGGAAGAAGAGGAAGAUGAUGGAGAAGGUGAUGAGGAAGAUGAGGAGGAGGAUGAAGACGAGAUUGAGGGUGGCACAAAACGGGCAGCUGAGGAUGACGAGGACGACGAUGAGGACGACGUCGAAACCAAGAAGCAGAAAACCGACGAUGACGAUUGAUGCGUUUCCCCCGCGCCAUCCUGCUGAACCACUUCCUGAUUCUUCACCUCUGACCGUUUUUCUAUGUCGCAGGUGGAGGGGCUGGAGGACUGAUUUAAAGGAAAAAAUAAUAAUAAUAAAAAAAUCCAACAUGGUCAUUAGCAAGUAGAGUUCAACAAACACCCGCCACGUCCACACUCACCCGAGCUCCCCUCAACGCUGCGAGACGAAUUUUCUAGAGGAACCCGCCACCGCAUCGACAACGCAGAAAUCCGGCUUCUCUUCAGCAACAACACAAAAGGAGAAUUUGUUUGUAUUUUUAUUUACAUUUUAUAUUUUUGUACAUAUUGUUAGGAGAGGGGAGGGGGGGCAGUUUCUCUCUCGAUCUCGUCAGACCAAAUCGGUGCUUCUCUAACGAAAGAUUUUACUUGGUUGACCAUGUUACGAUAUCUCAACAGAUCCUAGAAAAACGUGUAAAAAAGUUAAAAAAAAAAUAAAAUAAAAACAUGAAAGACAACCUCUUAAGCCGUUGAACUCAGAGCAUUCCAGUAAAUUUAAUGUAUGUACUUUAGCUGUACCAUAACUAGUUUGUUUGUAUGGGAGGGUAAGGCCAAAGAAAAGAGCCUCUUUUCUUUUUCCUUUCUUUUGUUUUUUUCUUUUGGUUUUGUUUUUGUCAGCGACUUUUUGUUUUAUGACGGCCUGUUUUGAUGUAUGUGCAAAGUUUGUUGUUUGACAAUAAACCGGACUUUUAUUUUGUGAGUUGUACUUUGUAUCUCUGCCCCUUUUUAUUUGUGCUUUGCUCUCCCGCGAGGAAGAGGAAGCGGUGCAGGUAAACCUGAGGUCUGCUUUUACUUUAGGGUCACAACAGCAGGGAGGAGGGUCCAGCACAUUUUAUUGGACAUUUUACACUCAUUACAUCCAUAUAAUUUAUAUCACAUAAAAAUUAAGGUUUGGUACUAAAAUAAACUUGUGGUGGUUCCAAAAGAGUAAAAUGUGAUUUAUUUCUUUUGGAUUUUUCUUUUCUUCUGGAUCACAUAAAUAAGGGUUUCUGCAUAAAUUUAAAGUCUUAACAUUAAAAUAAAGCACAGUAAGGUCUGAGAAGCUGAUCUGUAUUCUAAUAAAUUUGCUCAGUUUGUAGAGGUUGUGUUUAAGAACUGUGGGAAAAAUCGUUGCCAAUAAGUUUAAUUUUGUAAGUUAGUCUGUUAGUAUAUUUAUUUGGACCGAUGUCCAGGUAAGUGCAUUUCUGCAAUUUCAAGUUCUUUGGUUUGAAAAUUUUAAAAGUGCAGAGAAAAAGAGUAAAAAGUUGGAGAAAUUCCUGAUUCAGCAUCUUCCAGUGAAGCAG